rnacentral:rRNA from 1 species
CGGAUCUCUUAAAGCUGUUCUCAGUUCGGACUGCAGUCUGCAACUCGACUGCACGAAGCUGGAAUCGCUAGUAAUCGCGGAUCAGCACGCCGCGGUGAAUACGUUCCCGGGCCUUGUACACACCGCCCGUCACACCAUGGAAGUCUGCAAUGCCCGAAGCCGGUGGCCUAACCACUUAUGUGGAAGGAGCCGUCUAAGGCAGGGCAGAUGACUGGGGUGAAGUCGUAACAAGGUAAC